rnacentral:piRNA from 1 species
CAUGCAGCUGAAAGACUGUGUAUGGGUGUGU